GAGCACUGUAGGGGCAUUCCAAUCUCUCCAAACUGCACUACAAUCCCUCUACAGAGCAAAAUGAAAUUGGAAGUGGUUUAAUUUUUCGCUUACAAAUGUUUUUUUGUGUCCUCUUCCAUCACUCCAUGUGAUGUUCCAUCUUGUGAUGUCAUGUCCUGUGAUGUCAUGCAUAUAUUUAUGCAAAUUAGCAUGGCCAGCAUAUUUUCCAAGAAAGGUGGCAAGCCUAGGUGCCCGGGUCCUC